CGUUCGUGGAGACAGAUUAGACGGAGCUCCGGCGUAGAUUCCUGCCAGCUCCUCGACGCGACGAGGUUAGGGUUUCUUGUCGUGUGUAUGCAACGACGAGAUUUGAUGCUUGGUUUUUCAGAUCGAUUCAAGGAUUCAAUGACAACGACUGGGCUCCCGAAAGCCGGUCCUUAGGGGCGCGUGCACAAAAAAAUCCCGACUGUCAUCGACAAGGUCAAGCCGGCUCCGGCAUGGGAACAACGAAAGCGGCGCAUCGGCGGCUCAUUCUGGCGGCGGCAAUGGCCGUUCGGUUGUCCAUGGACCCCUCUCUCCCUCCCUCUCUCUCUCUCAGACCCACUCGCCGCGAAGACUGGAGGCAGAACGCCGCACGCGCCGGUCGACGAGGAGGAGCUACGCCGCCGCCGGAGCACCGACUGCAUCUACUACCUCGCGCUCCCCGUUGACCUGCAAGAAGGUACCCCUGCACCUCCCUCUCUCUUCGCGAGCUGAUGCGCCGCCGAACGGCAAGGGCCGUCCAUUCGGUUUUGAUCUGACCGGGGCCUCCUUCUCCUCUGGUCUACGAUUCGAGUUGCGCUCGUGUGCGCGCACAAUUUCGUCUUAGUUUAUGACAAGCGACUGAGCUCUGCUCUGCUCGGUGCCGGUAAAUUCGACGGUUUCAAUCGAGAUCUGUUUGUUCGUUAUAGUAGCUGAUUCAGCUGAGCCCUUAUAUUGCUGCUGCUGCUUCUAUCCGAAAAUCUGCAGAACUAGAUUGCACAUCUCAGGGAAAGCAUUCUCCAGUUGUUUUAUUUGCGAACGCCACUGCUCAGGGCUCCAUAUGCACGUUCACAAACAUUAGUCGCCAAUGGAGCAGAGCGCCAUUGCUGAUGUAGCUUAAAAUGGUGAUCAGCGACCGACUGAGUGUGCUUGAAGUUUGAGGUGGAGUGCAAGGAGGAGGACACCCGGGUGGAGAUCUACUGCGCCGCCAAGCCGGGGCUACUGCUGUCGAUGGUGAGCACCCUGGACACACUGUCCCUCGACAUCCAGCAGUGCAUCGUCGACUGCUUCAACGACUUCGCCAUACACGCCUCCUGCUCCGAGAUGCAGAGGGAGAUGGGCUGCUGGAUCUUAUAAGGAGGUCACUCUGACAAGACUGGCUAGCUGUGAUUCUCGUGGGAAUAAAGAGGAUGGGACCUGUGAUUGUCGUGGAUCUGGAGGUGACACUGAUCAGGAAGGUAAGUUUACUACUGAUCUGGAGUAAUAUUACUAGAUUGCAAAUCAUGAAUUUAGUAGUUACUGCAGAAUAUUGGUUAGUUGGUUCAGUUUACCUUUUAUGUUUAUAUGGUCUAACGACAUCCGACAUAGCAGAUGCUUGGUCCAGCUGGAGAUAGCUUACAUGGUUUUAUUUCACCAUAAUAUAUUUCCAACAAGAUCGUUCCCUAUUGUUUCCUGAAGAAAACUAACGAUCAAACUGCAGAGAAAACAUUGUUUAGAGAGGAGUUAAUAUACAGUUUGUAGUCUUGCAAUUGGCUUCUAAAAUUUACAGCAGGAGUACGCAAUGAGUUUGAACAAAUGAAUGCAAAACCUACCAGAUUUUGCGAUGUUACUGUUUCUUGAUAUCUUCCUCAUUUGUAUUAUGUGUAUUCCUUAGUUGGCAGCUAUUUUAAUGUAUACUCUCCCCUUAUUUUGAGGAAACUUCAUGGGGCAGAGGAUCACUACAAUUUUUUGUUUCAAAUAGGAAAUGAACAAAACAUGAUUUUGCUAACCUGUCAUGUAAUAUAUAUGUACCUAUUUCAUAAAGUACAUCAGUGCAAAUACAAGUUUGCAACUCAUGACGAUGAGUCGAGGAGUGAAAGAAGUUUGGAACUCACACAAGUGUCAUACUCGCAUGACCAAAUCAGGCUACAAAGACAAGUCUUCACGCGCACAUGUAUGACCUUGCCUCUGUCGUUGUUUUUUUUUCUGAAGAAUAAAACUGCUGUCAUUAGGCUCUAAAUUUGCAAACUAACUAAACAUCAAAUACAAAUUGCAUGUGAGUUUGCCAAGAUUUUUUUUGUCUCUGCAAUUUUGUUUGCAGGAUUGUCGAUUUUAGUUACACAGUACCAUUUAAAAAGCGGCUGCCAUUUGAUGAAUUGCUGAAGGGUGGUGGCUGGACACCAUGGGGGACAGUGUUCCAAGAUGGUUAGACGUUAGCUACUGAUUCACAAUCUAUCAACCCUAUCUUCAUGUAUCUGUGUGUGUUAGGCAGUACAAGGUCCAACAUGGUUGUGCUGAUGUCUAGGUUUCGGCUUCCUGGGGAGGUGCCCUCCUCUUGAGUAUGCCAGUACUUCACGGUGGUGAGGUCUGUCUCGAUGGUAGACCGGUUGAUUGAUUAAAUGGCAAUAGGAGCAGCUUAGUGAGCCAGUGAUGCAACUGUGCAUCGUCUCUUGACGCACCACUGUCGACCCCAGCUACUGCAUGUACAUAUGAUCCAUGUAUCGUGUUUAGUUUCUCACUAAGACUUGGUAUGCUUGUGUUGUGAUGAUCCGAGGAACUCUACCUCUUUUGGAGAUCGCCCACCUUUCGGAGAAAGCUAAACCUUGACUUGAACAGUUGGAUGUCUUUCUGUGAUCAGUCAUCCAACUAUCCACUUGUAAGAUUGUCACCUCUAUUAAUAUAGAUCUAUUAGCAUCGAUGAAA